GGCUGGCUCCCUUUCCCCAUCCCUGCAACCACCGAGGCAAAGAUGGCUUCAGGAGUGCAAGUUGCUGAUGAAGUAUGUCGCAUUUUUGAUGACAUGAAAGUUAGGAAAUGCUCCACACCAGAAGAAAUCAAAAAAAGAAAGAAGGCUGUCAUUUUUUGUCUCAGUGCCAAUAAAAAGUGCAUCAUUGUAGAAGAAGGCAAAGAGAUCUUGGUUGGGAUAUUGGUGUGACCAUUACUGAUCCUUUCAAGCAUUUUGUGGGAAUGCUUCCUUAAAAAGACUGUCGGUAUGCUUUGUAUGAUGCGAGAAAGAGUCCAGAAAAGAAGAGUUGAUGUUCUUUUUGUGGACACCAGAACUAGCAUCUCUGAAAAGUAAAAUCUAUGCAAGCUCCAAGGAUGCAAUCAAAAAGAAAUUUUAAGGCAUAAAACAUGAAUGUCAGGCAAAUGGCCAGAGGACCUUAAUUGGGCUUGUACUGCUGAAAAGCGAGGUGGGUCUUUAAUUGUAGCCUUUGAAGGAUGCCCUGUGUCCAUCAUCAUUCAGUGCCACAUAUCGAAAGCUUCCAUGUUUAAUGUUAUCUUCUAGCUAUAUAAAUAAAGUAAAAGUAUAUUUAGGCCAGAGUCUCCCGGAGGGGAAAC